AAUGCGGAGUUGUACUGCCUUACCGGCUGCACACGUGGAAGGAGGAGGCGGCUGCAGAUCUUGCAGAGCCGUCCUCCCCCCGCCGCCGCCUCCUUCUUUAAUAUUUUAAAGCUAAACCGAAGAUAGAUGGAACCUGACGGCUAACCUCAGUAAGCUGAUGAGAACCAAGAAACCCCUGGGCGUGAAGCUACGUGGGGCUUCUGUACCUUUAGCAGCUGCACAACAGGAAGAAUCUAACAGUUUCGUAUUUACCAUCCCUUAAAGAAGAUUUCUUAAAAUUAAAGCUUAGAUCUUCUGCAUAAGCACAUUAGCUGAGCACUGAAGGAGGAUCAUCCUGAGAGUAAAACUGCAGCUUCAACCACCAAUGAAGGGAGGCAGUGGUGAUGGCUGUCCUAGCUCAAGUCUCUCCACACGAAAGGAAACAACUGCCAGGAUCUGUCUCCAGCAACAUUUCUUUGCCUGGCUACUGGAAGAAAUGCUUUAUUAGGGCCAAACUACACAUGAUGCAGGAGAUCCAAAGCCCUUUUAUUUUCCUAAAAGCAGCUGCAUCAGGGACAGACAGCUUGGAUCAAGGAUGCAUUAGUAGGGGGCUUGACCCUCUCCCCUUGCAUAUCUCGUAUAAAUUGACCCCCUACCCCCAAAACUGCUAUUAGCAUGGAAGAGGAAACAUUCAAGUACAAAUAUCUCUGUGUUGCCCCUUCCAUGUUUAAUGGAAGCUUCAGGAAUGAGGUUUAUUUAUAUUGGGAAUCAGGGUGUGUGUGGUUAAAAAAUCUUCCCCUAGCACCAUAUCGACAAUCCAAAUCAACAUCCACCCACUUCAUGGCUGCUAUUAGAAAAAACAGACCUUGGAAGAUUUAAUUACAGAACUUUCUCAUUUUUUGUAGCUUGGCUCUUAGCGGUCAGGAAAGGCAGAAGCAGGGAUUGGUUCUCAGACUAAGUAACUGAGGUAGGAAGUGAGAGGUAGGCCCAAAGCCAGUCAUCACUACUUGUACUGGCUGUUGGAUAGCCUUGUAUCUGUUUUUGGCAGCCAAGAUCAGUGUGAAUGAGGGGAACUGAUUUCUGUAGUCCUAACUUAAAAGCUUUUAAAAGGGUCAGGGAAUAUCACCUCAUCUGCUCUGGCCUGUUUUGCUUAUAAGAGACUUUCUUGGCAGGCUGGGUUAUUCCCUACAGCUUACUCUUUGGUCAAAGGAAUAUGGUGGGGUACAGGUUAGAUCCGUUUCUGAUAUGCCUUCAGUCCCAGAUUCAGGACCUACCAUUCGGGGUCCCCUAACAAGGUAAUAUCUCAGGAGGCCCUGAUGUUGACUUUUGAUUUACAUUGCCUAAAGAGAUGCCUGUUUUCUGGAUUUCAAACAUUGCCUUGGUAGCAUUUUAAACGCCCCACAAGACUGCAGCUAGGCACUUUGGAAACUUUCUUUGUGUAAAGUUGGUGGGGAGGGGUCAAUCCUGAGUCCAGGUCUUAGGCUCCUCAAGGCUACUUACUUGGUCCUAUUCUGUAACAGCUGCUAGAACAGGACAGACUCAGUAACUAUACUGGUUUAACCGAUCCUCUUAUAUCUGU